rnacentral:lncRNA from 1 species
AUAUAGUGAGGACCUGCUUUCUUUUCUAUGGAGCAAGCGAUUAAGGAAAAUGUAAUUGCUGAGGGCAAUUAUUUAGAGAUUUUCAAUUUAGAAGCAAGAUAUGAAACCUUGUUUCUGAAUCCUGAAGUUAAAAUUGACUGUACCACUUGUCCUUUUGGAAUCCCUCACAUUCCCCAUAAAGGAGAGCAGUAGUAACCUGACCACACUAGAACUGCGGGGAGAGCAACCAUGGCUGACCCCAUAGAGCAGUGUUUCAAUGAGUGUCAGCCUGGAUCAAAACCAUAGGGAAAGCCUGUUUUAAGAAAGAAUAUUUUAAAAGCAAAUAUCUGAGGCUGGUUCCUGGGCCAUGUCCUAUACCAGUGAAUCAGGUAUAGGGUCUGAAAAUAGGCAUUUUAAAGAAGAUCACCAGGGCUUGCCCCAUGUGUGAGGCCCUGGGUUCAUUCACCAGCACUGCCAACAAAGAGGGCUGGGGGAGCUCCAGAUGAUGCACACAUUAAAGUUUGAGAACCAGUAGGAAAAACAGAGUUACUUUUUUAGCUACACACAGAAGUCUAGUCUACACACUAAUCUUAAAAGUCCUAUGGUGAUUCUGAUUCUGCCCAAGUGGUAAGAACCACUGCCCUAGAGCUUCUUUCCAGCUGCCUGUGGCAUUGUUGGCUGCAUUUGCUGAUACUGCUCCAACCCCAACCCCAUGCCCAAUUAGUGGUUACUGAUCUCACUCUAUAUCAGUAGACAAGCGACUAAUAACCUUUAUCUAUGAAUUUCUCUCAGUGUCAUGCUAUAGAGUUAAGGUACUCAUGACACUCCAGAACUCUUGUGUAUCUUGGUCUGGUCAUACAGCCUGUCUUGUUCCAGGAAUGGCUUAGGUUAUGCAGCCCUGGGAGGGACCUCUUAGAGUAACUGGAGUUAUAAGACCUGGUUACCCAGGAUGUAGACUCCUGGAUUAGUCUGGGAGUGACUAGGAAUUACCCAGAUCCAGAACCCUUGGAAUGACUUAAGAGUUGAUGUGCUGAGAAAAACGUAAAUAGAUAAUGAAUAUCAAAAAUCAGACUGGUAGUUGCCAGGGCGUACAGAGUGAUUAGUGGAAUUGCCCUUGACUUUGAUUCUCAGCAACCACGGUACAAGGGAGGAAUGUAGGAAUAGUUCCUCUCUCACAUACUGGUUAGUUUUGUAUUUCACAAUCUUGGACCCAGAACUCAGAUGUUGAGACUUCAGCUCAAGUUUUGAAUACCUUUGCUCACCGCCCCCAGAGAUAAUGGAGUGUCUCUAAAGGCAAAAAGCCAGGCCAAGAGUUCCGAGAAUCACAAGCAUAUCCUCAGUAUUAAGGGUUUGGCUGAAGUCUAAGAAAACGAACUGUUUUAUUAUCAUAUCAUCUCAAUUAAUAUGCUGAGAACUUGAGUUCAUGUAAUUGAGCAUUAUCAUGAUAAUCAGAGCCUGAUUUAAAAUUCUUUUAGGCCAAAUAUAAAAGAC